AGAUCUGUUUGGUGACAUAUCUCCACGUGACCAAUUUCUCAAUGAAUCAGGCGCUACCUGCCACCAGCUGCAGGUCCCACAGAGAGAAAAUGUGACCAUGCAAGGUAGUGGGCAGCUUUACAAAGACAUCACCAUCGAGAAGCUGACGGAGAUGGUAGCAGAGGUGCUUGUGGUGGCGAGAGGAC